rnacentral:rRNA from 1 species
GAUGAACGCUGGCGGCGUGCCUAAUACAUGCCAGUCGAGCGAACAGACGAGGAGCUUGCUCCUUCGACGUUAGCGGCGGACGGGUGAGUAACACGUAGGUAACCUACCUAUAAGACUGGGAUAACUUCGGGAAACCGGAGCUAAUACCGGAUAAUAUUUCGAACCGCAUGGUUCGAUAGUGAAAGAUGGCUUUGCUAUCACUUAUAGAUGGACCUGCGCCGUAUUAGCUAGUUGGUAAGGUAACGGCUUACCAAGGCAACGAUACGUAGCCGACCUGAGAGGGUGAUCGGCCACACUGGAGCUGAGACACGGUCCAGACUCCUACGGGAGGCAGCAGUAGGGAAUCUUCCGCAAUGGGCGAAAGCCUGACGGAGCAACGCCGCGUGAGUGAUGAAGGUCUUCGGAUCGUAAAACUCUGUUAUUAGGGAAGAACAAACGUGUAAGUAACUGUGCACGUCUUGACGGUACCUAAUCAGAAAGCCACGGCUAACUACGUG